rnacentral:rRNA from 1 species
GAGAAUCUUCCGCAAUGGACGAAAGUCUGACGGAGCGACGCCGCGUGAUUGAUGACGCCUUUCGGGGUGUAAAGAUCUUUUAUAUGGGAAGAAGUUUAUUGACGGUACCAUAUGAAUAAGGGGCUCCUAAACUCGUGCCAGCAGGAGCGGUAAUACGAGUGCCCCAAGCGUUACCCGGAUUCACUGGGCGUAAAGGGUACGUAGGCGGCAUAGUUAGUCGAUUGUUAAAGCACCGGGCUCAACCCGGGACAGGCAAUCGAAACGGCUAAGCUAGAGGAUGUGAGAGGUGAGUGGAACUCAUGGUGUAGGGGUGAAAUCCGUUGAUAUCAUGGGGAACACCAAAAGCGAAG